rnacentral:rRNA from 1 species
UUAAACAUGAGAGUUUGAUCCUGGCUCAGGAUGAACGCUGGCGGCGUGCUUAACACAUGCAAGUCGAACGAAGCAGUUUAUCACGAUCCCUUCGGGGUGACGAUUUACUGACUGAGUGGCGGACGGGUGAGUAACGCGUGGGUAACCUGCCUUGUACAGGGGGACAACAGUUGGAAACGACUGCUAAUACCGCAUAAGCGCACGGAAUCGCAUGAUUUUGUGUGAAAAGAUUUAUCGGUACAAGAUGGACCCGCGUCUGAUUAGCUAGUUGGUGAGGUAAUGGCCCACCAA